CAGCAAAUCUUGUUUCUCCAUCAUCAACAACAGCAAGGGCAACAGUUGUAUGCAAGCCUGGAAACUCAAGUACUACGAGAGCAGCAAGGGCAACAACAACAGCAAGAGUACCCACAACCACCCAAGAAACGCUCUUAUCUGCCGUCGGCUUCUACUUCAACUUUUGGUUCCAAAUCAACCCAACAUGCAAGAAAAAUGGGAGAUAGCCGCCACCAAGCUGCAACAUCGUCAAGAUUGGGGAUAAGGCACUCUGGAGGGGAGAUCGUUGAGGUCCAAGGAGGUCACAUUGUUCGGUCAACUGGAAG
rnacentral:lncRNA from 1 species